rnacentral:snRNA from 1 species
AUACUCUGGUUUCUCUUCAGAUCAUACAAAUCUCUCACCCUUUACUAAAGAUUUCUUUGAAGAGGAACAAUUCUAUGCCUUAACCCAAUUUUUGAGGCCCUGUAUCUACAAGGC